rfam:Ceratocystis platani strain CFO contig_00306, whole genome shotgun sequence.
ACAUACGACCAUAGCUAAUGGAGAAUACGGGGUCCCGUCUGCUCCCCCCGAGUCAAGCCAUUAAGCGCCGGAUCAGUAGUACGGUGGGUGACCACGUGCGAAUACCUGGUGUUGUAUGUA